rnacentral:rRNA from 1 species
CCUGAGAAACCCAAAAGAUCGAAUGGGGAGAUUCAUCGUCAGCUCAUUUUGUAUUUGUAUAAGUUAUGAUGCGAGUUACUCUUGUAGUAUUGCUUGUACAUGCUUUUACAUUUAUUUGCAAGAUGUUGUCGGCGUGCACUUCUCCCCUAGUAGAACGUCGCGACCCGUUUGGUGUCGGUUUACGACCCGAGUGGUAGACUUUAAUAUUUUAUAGUAUUAAAGACCCUUGGUGUUUUCUAACCGGCUGCCCGGCGGUAUUCGUACGGUACUUAGCCGCAAAUUUUUUUUGCGUCCAUGUCCAUCGCAAGCGAGGCCAAUUUCUGAUAGAGCGGACCUAGUGCCGUCGUUGGGAUUGACCAGCUGUUGGUUGUAUGGAAGUCUAGGACUGGCUAAAAUAAUUACCGGUCGG